rnacentral:rRNA from 1 species
CUGUUUCUAUCCCACAUCACAGGUCUCUGCAAAUUUGAAAAAAGAAGUAUAGAGACUGACGCCUGCCCGGUGCUGCAAGCUUAAUAGAAAAAGUUUUGGCUUUAACUUUAACCCCCAGUAAACGGCGGCUGUAACUCUGACGGUCCAAAGGUAGCGAAAUUCCUUGGCAUUUAAUUGGUGUCCUGCAUGAAUGGCGUAACGACUGUCCUACUGUCUCCAAUGCAAUCUCAGUGAAAUUGAAAUGUCUGUGAAGAUGCAGACUACUCGCGGCUAGACGGAAAGACCCUGUGCACCUUUACUAUAGUUAUAAAUUGUAAUAAAAUUUUUUCUGUGUAGUAUACGUGGUAAGUUUUUAUCAAAUCGUAACGCAAGUUAUUUGUUUAAACACAAAUGAAAUACCACUCUUAAAAACUUUUGUUACUCAUAAUCUCAAAACAGUUUAUAAUGGGUAGUUUGACUGGGGCGGUCGCCUCCUAAAAAGUAACGGAGGCGUACGAAGGUAAGCUCAAAUUGAAAAAAACCAAUUUAAGAGCAUAAUAGUAAAUUGUUUGCUUGACUGAGAGAUUGACAAAUCGAACAGAGAUGAAAGUCGGUUAUAGUGAUCCGAUGACUCUGAGUGGAAAAGGUCAUCGCUCAACGGAUAAAAGGUACGCCAGGGAUAACAGGCUAAUCAUUCUUUAGAGACCCUAUCGAUGGAGUGGUUUGGCACCUCGAUGUUGGAUUAUCGCAUCCUGGAGCUGUAAGUGGUUCCAAGGGUUUGGCUGUUCGCCAAGAAAGGCGGUACAUGAUCUGAGUUUAGAACGUUGUAAAACAGUUUGGUCCCUAUCUACCGUGAGUGUUAAAAAUUGAAAGGAGUAAACCCUAGUACGAGAGGACCGGGAAAAGUGAAUCUCUGGUGAAUCGGUUGUUAUUUUAAUAGCAUCGUCGAGUAGCUAUAUUUAUGAUAGAUAAUUGCUGAAAGCAUCUAAACAAGAAACUAACCUUGAAAAAAAUUUUUAAAAAGUCGUAAAAGAUUAUUACGUAAUAGACUUAAUGUAUAAGAGUUGUAAAAUUUUUAGCAAAUAAGCACUAAAAUU